rnacentral:lncRNA from 10 species
CUGGUGGGGGAAGGAGCGAGAUGCCGGCUCCUCGGUGACUGUCAGCUCAGAAAGCCCAUCGAGGCCUUCCAGGGACUCGCGGCCUAGGACAGACAUCAGGAAGGGCUCCAGGGCAAGCACAGGUGGAACAUGCAGGGUUAAUGCGGUCCCAGCUCGGCUGGAGGAAAUGAGGACAGGGGAUUCUGAUGACAGGCUGCUGUCACGGGGAGCUGGCUCUGCUCGGGAAACAGCACUGCUUGCCAAGUGUGGAGGCCUCACAGCAGCCGUCGUGGGGCUCGGAGUCCCAGCACCUCAGAUGACAGAAAAAUAAAAAGCAGAAAAUGUCACCAGUAAAAGAUCAUUUGCCAUUAACAUGCUUCCAGCUCUUUCCUAUUGUCAAAAUGAGCCUGCCGGUGCGUGUGGGUCAGCGCCCUUUCCUCACACCUUGUUAGAUUGUGGGCGUUUCUGAUGGGAUCAG